rnacentral:lncRNA from 1 species
CACAGGAUAAUCGCUCCAGUGGUGGAUCUUUGAGACCCAUCAAAAGCCUUGACGUUGAUAGCUCUAUCUUUGAUUUCGUGCAAACCCUUGCCCAAUGUCCUGAGGGUUAUUCGUGGAUAGAUGAUAAGGCUGCAUCCCCCAUCAACCACGAUCCUGGUGAUGAAAUAAUCUUCGCAUUGCACAGUGAUGUGCAAUGCAUUGUUUUGACUAAGCCCUUCUGGUGGUAACUCAUCCUCGUGGAAGGUGAUCUUGUGACUUUACAGCACCUGCCCUACCAUAUUUGCCAUUUUUCCUCCUGUUAUGUUGUUGGAAACAUAAACUGCACUCAAUAUUUUCAUUAAGGCGUUUUUAAGUGGCUCAGAGCUUUGCAGAAGAGACAGGAUGGAAAUUUGCGCUGGUGAUUUGUUUAGUUGCUCAAUGACUGAGUACAUUUUGGUAUGUAUCUUCCUCCAAAGGUCAUCGGGUCCAGUUUCAAUAGCCCGUCCAGAGGCCUUCUGUUGGACUCAACUAAAUGCUCUAGGGUGUAUACCGUUCCUGUCCUGGUCAUGCCCUGUGCGACGAUCGCUUCUCCAUUAUGUAUUUUCUCUUUCCUUCUAGCCUUGGCGGUGUAAU